rnacentral:hammerhead_ribozyme from 1 species
GUACUGAUGAAGAGUCCCAAACUAGGACGAAACAGUUGUCCAGUGC